AUUGAACGCUGGCGGCAUGCUUUACACAUGCAAGUCGAACGGCAGCGCGGGCUUCGUCCUGGCGUCGAGUGGCGAACGGGUGAGUAAUUCAUCGGAACGUGCCCAGUAGUGGGUGAUAGCCCGGCGAAAGCCGGAUUAAUACCGCAUACGACCUUAUGUUGAAAGCGGGGGUCCGAAAGUCCUCUCUCUCUUUUAUCGGCCGAUGUCGGAUUAGCUAGUUGGUUGGGUAAAGGCUUACCAAGGCGACGAUCCGUAGCUGGUCUGAGAGGACGACCAGCCACACUGGGACUGAGACACGGCCCAGACUCCUACGGGAGGCAGCAGUGGGGAAUUUUGGACAAUGGGGGCAAACCUGAUCCAGCAAUGCCGAGUGAGGGAAGAAGGACUUCGGGUUGUAAACCGCUUUUGUUCGGGAAGAAAAAAUCUGGGCUAAUACACCGGGGGGAUGACGGUAACGGAAGAAUAAGCACCGGCUAACUACGUG
rnacentral:rRNA from 1 species